UUUCACACUUAGAAAAAAAAAUUAAAGGCCGAUCCCAAAAGUUAGACAGAAAACCCUAAGCUCUCGCGUGACCUCCAUCUCACUCAAACUCGCCUUCAUUCUGAACUCACCCCAAAACUGGAUCUCCUCCCAAACCCGACCUCCAUCUCCUCCCUUCCUUCCUUCAUCUACAUCCUCAGCUUCUUCGGCAUCAACUCCGUCCAGUCCGGCAUCAACUCCGUCCAGUCCGUCCUCAACUUAUUCGUCGAAGCAUUUCUAAACAGCGCUGUUCCCUCUUAGCCUCUGGAAUCGAAGCAAGAGAGCGGCGGCCAGUCGGCGCGACUCACUUCAGAGAACGACUCCGUUGUGGGAUUCAAAGGAUUCUAGGAGUCGCCGGUCGGAGACGAAGUAAUAGUUUAAGAAGCGCGAGUUUGUGGGUGUCUUCAAUAUUAACUAAUUUGUCAAGUCCAGUUGGGUAUGUUCUCUCUUGCUUCCUUCCAAUCUUUGUUCCAAUUGAAAUUGUGAUCUAUGAAAUUGUAUGGUCACCUUGAGUUUGAACUAUUGAUUUUGUUAUGCUUUUGAGGUUGGACGGUCUUGAUAAAAAGAAGUUUGAUGGGUCUAGGCCAUCUGCAACGUUCAGUAUCGGGUUAAGGCGAGUACCCAUAAGCUGUGAUGUUCGUUUCCAACCCUGUAUUGAUAUACACAAGGUAUUGGAGAUUCAAGGAACAACGACAGAGUCGAGGAGGAAGAGGUCAACUUUGCUUGGUGGGUGGAUUAAUGGCGUCUCUAGCUAUGGCACCAGUUCAAGAUGAUGAUGAUGAUCAAUAUGGUGAGAUUUCCUUUAGUCCUGCUGCUGUUGGGGUCCAAUUGAAGGAUCAAUUAUCUUCUGGAAAUGACUAUGCUCCCAAGGUGAGGAAACCAUACACGAUCACGAAACAGAGAGAGAGAUGGACAGAGGAAGAGCAUAACAAAUUCCUUGAAGCUCUAAAACUCCAUGUUCAGGCAUGGCGAAAGAUACAAGGAACAUCUACAAUCAUUUUGUAAGUGAUGAAACUGGAGGAGCAACUGUUAUGCAAACAGAGAUAGGUACUCCAGAUGAUCCCUUCCCAACAAGGUCCAUUUGGAACUGUAUACCAUGGUCUGUGAGAUUGAUCAGUACUUCUACGCAUCAAUUUUAGCUUCAUGAGUAUUAAAAACUGAAAAGACAUGCUAAGCAGCAGCUUCAGUUUCUUCAGGUGUUUCCUCUUUGUCAUCAGUCUAUUUACAUGUUCCACGCUCAUGAUGCUCCUCUAGAAAAUAUGAGGAGAUCUGUGCACCCCUGGUUGAAGAAUUUUGUUACAUUACUUAUAGGGUCCCUUAUUGAUAACACAUGUUUUAAGGAAAGAGUGGGUAGUAAAGGCGCGCAAAUCAUAUAGCCAAAAUGAUAUUGACGAGGUGUGCAUUGAAGUGGCUGAUUAUAUACAAAGUUUGGUGUAAGACUUUUGGCUUCCAUGAUUUUGAGUAAGGCUAGUUUUUGCUUUGAAGCAAAGUUUGGUGUAGAACAUACUUUUGUAGUUGGUUGCUAAUAUGUUUCUAA